rnacentral:tRNA from 1 species
AUUUAUAUAGUUUAAUAAAAACUUUACAUUUUCAUUGUAAAAUUGGAUACUCCCUAUCUUAUAAAUA